rnacentral:misc_RNA from 1 species
GAUGAAGAACGCAGCGAAACGCGAUAAGUAAUGUGAAUUUCAGAAUUCAGUGAAUCAUCGAAUCUUUGAACGCAACUUGCGCCUUUUGGUAUUCCGAAAGGCAUGCCUGUUUGAGUGUCAUAUAAACCUCACCUCUACUGUUUUUCAUUAGACAUGUGGACUGGUGCUUUGGGCGUCUGCCGUUUACUCUGGCUCGCCUUAAAUGUCUAAGUGGAAUGCGUAAUAAGUCUUCGCAACCCUCCACUCUAAUACAAACUUUUAUAUUCUGACCUCAAAUCAGGUAGGACUACCCGCUGAACUUAAGCAUAUCAAUAAGCGGAGGA